AGCAUGAAAAUCAGAAUGUCUUCCAACCUCAUUAACGAAAUAUCUCGCUUGCUAGUUUCUAUCAAAGAACUAAUUCCAGUAGAAUUCUGUAGGAAAACCAGAACAUUAGACGAACUGUCGCGUUUCAAGGCAACGGAAUUCCGGAUACCGUUGUUAUAUGUAUUACCUCUAAUCUUAAAAAACAGGCUCCCAGAUGUAGUGUAUAUUGUCUUGUGAUUGCAUUUUCAUUUCAAUCAAAUCAUUUCAAAAUCAAUAAAAAAAAAUCAAAAAAAAUCAAUCAAUCAAUCAAAAUCAAUCAAAAUCAAUUCAAAUUCAUUACUUAUAAUGUUCAUAAUCUUUGUCAUUUGUCGGAGGAAUGUCGCCGAUUGGGCGCUCUUGAAAAUUUCAGUUGUUUUGUUUUCGAAAAUCACCUGGGUAAACUUAAGAAUUUGGUGAAAAAAAGUGCCAAGCCUUUGGAACAGCUUGUGAAUCGGAUAAUGGAAGCACGCAAUAAUCCCUCUGUUGAACGUACUUUACUACGGAAUCCUGAUUUAAUUAAGCUCAUUGAUGAGCAUUUCAAAGGUCCGAUGCUUCCAUGGCUGCAUGGGAUGCAAUACGAGAAAGCAUAUUUUCAUAAAUUAAGACUAAGCACAAGAAGCCCCAAUAAUUGCGUCGUCAUACAAGAUGACACCGUUGUCUUGAUUAAAAAUUUCGUGAAACUAACAAAUGGGGAAACUGUGAUUCUCGGAAACAAAUUCUUGGUGUACGAAAAUUUUCUCGAUUUCAACGGGUUGGAUUCAAAAACCGUUGGAACACAAAUUUUUGACACAUUGUCAACAGAUCUUGAGUUUUUGCCACUUAAUUCAAUUUGUUUUAAAGCUAUUAAACUUCCAAUCAUUCAUAAAGCUCCUCCCACUCCAAGUUUUGGCAUUGUAAGACUGAUGAAUUUUGAUGUAAACAUUCAGUAAUUCAUCGAAUCAGGUUGAGCAGUUCUAUUUACAUCCUAACAUGAUGUAAUGUUUGCUGCUGUUGCCUAUUAUAUCAACCAUCGCUUGGGGGAUGCGCAGAAGAAUUCCAGCUGUUAUUUCACAUCAAAUUUUGUUUAAAAAUUUUCUUCUGUGUUUUCAAUACAGUAAUAAUUAAAACAUA